rnacentral:rRNA from 1 species
UACGUAGGGGGCAAGCGUUGUCCGGAAUCAUUGGGCGUAAAGAGCGUGUAGGCGGCCCGAUAAGUCCGCUGUGAAAGUCCAGGGCUCAACCCUGGAAUGCCGGUGGAUACUGUCGGGCUCGAAUCCGGAAGAGGUGAGUGGAAUUCCUGGUGUAGCGGUGAAAUGCGCAGAUAUCAGGAGGAACACCAAUGGCGAAGGCAGCUCACUGGGACGGUACUGACGCUAAGGCGCGAAAGCGUGGGGAGCGAACAGG